UAGAUAACGGCGAAAGUCCAAGUUCUUUUACUAGAACAUGCAAUAAUACUUAUUUGUCCCUCUGGAAUCUCAUCAUCCAUACUUGGGUGAAUUCCAUAACAUGUGGACUGGGCUUGUUGAAAUUCCAACAUAACUCUUAUCUUUGUGCUUUCUGUUGGACCUCAUCAUUUUAAGGGUUGCCAGCUUAUUUCAAUGAAAUUUUGUCUUGUGUUUUAACUUUUGCUCCUUUGUACAAGAGGAUUUCUGCUAUGGCUUGAUUCCUCCAUGUACCUUGUCGUUUGUCAAUGUGCUCAUCCUUGAUAGACACCGAUCUUUAGGCUGGGAGAGAGGAGUUAACCUAACAUGUGACAUGUCUGUAACAACAUUGUGCAUUUCUGAUGACUGAAGCUUUCUUAAAUUCGUGAACUGCAAUGAUGCAUACUAGUACGUCCCAAGAAAAUGGUAUCCAGUAAUUGAGUGCAAUGAUGCAUACUACUUCCUCCUUCCUAAUACAAGUCUUUUUAGAGAUUUCAAUAAGGACUACAUACAGAUGUAUAUAGACAUCUUUUAAAUUGUAGAUUCACUCAUUUUGCUUUUCUAUGUAGUCCACAUUGGAAUCACUAAAAGGACUUAUGUUUAGGAACGGAGGCAGUAGAAUGGAGCGCUGACAUGAACUGAUGCUGUAAGAAUUCCAUCAAUGAUUACAAAGUUCAAUACAAUCCACCCAUAUUCUGAGCUCAACAGAACAAUUACCGCUUGUUUGGGUCGCCUGAUUUCAUUUCAUUUGGUAAGGGUAUUGGCUGAAUCGAGACCCCAAAUCCAAAUUUCAUGUUUGGCUGGCACUACGAUUUAGAGGUGAAAUCCUUGCCAACACCAAAAUGAGGAACAAUAUAACAUUGAACCUCUACUGUUCACACAUACAACAAUGUUUUGCUUUAAACUGAAACUUGCCAGUACAUACUCCCUCCGUUCGGAAAUAACUCCUUGCGUCAGUUAUUUUCAAACGGAGGUAGUAGAAAAUAAAGCAAAAGGAGAACAUUUAACAUAAGACUUUGUAAAAAGUUCAAUCUUUGCAAUGCAACAAAGGUUCACAGCAACAUCAAAUGAUGACAAUUUAGCCAAGGUUACAUUGAAACUGAAUAUUUCCAUUCCUAAUACCACGGAGGAAGAUUUUCAUUGCUUGAGAAUCUUUCUGUCUUCAUUCUUUCCUUCAUUGCCAUACUAUGCCCAAUAUUUGAUGACCUAUUGCCUGUAGCAAGGGUUUCUUUGUUUUCCUGCAAAAUGUGAUUGGAAAAUGUUCUCACAGUGUACAGACUGUAGAUUGUAAGUAAUAAUGGUGACUCUAGCGACUCGUACAUUUCUAAUAUGUACAUAUGAUUGUCAUAUAUUCCUGGGUAGCAUUCAAUAUGCCUAGCCAUGUAGCUUACACAAAGGUGUAAGAAGAAGAUCACACGAAAGAAGAUAAACAAUCAAGAUAUUGAGUAAGAUAACAAGAAAGGUGUAUCAUCACUAUAUUGUACCAGAUUAAAUGAAGAGGACAUAGAAUGAACACCCAACAAAGCACAUAGCAUGAAAAAGCUGGUAUAAUGCACACACAGCUAGAAGGGAAGAAACUGCAGGGACUGUUCGUUAAAUAAAUAAAUACUCACUCGAUUAGUAUACAUACAUCUACUUUUGGAUAAUGCAUUGUAACAUGGGUGGUAGCUAGGAGAAGCAGUAAGAGAGACCAUGCUAAAUAAAUAAGUGUCAUUUCUAUCCCAUUGGUACCAAAGUCACUAAGCCAUGCCUUAAUUAAUGUUAGUACUACUGUUAGUAGUACCAUGUAGAGCUAAUUUUUACACAUUAGUACUUUAUUCGCAAAAAAUGUUAUAAUAGAAAACGAGCAGAACUUUACUUGAGAUAUUACGCGCUUGGCAAUGACUAGCAAUCAAUGUCAAAGAGCCAAAAGACAAGCUUAAUUAACUUCUGGAAUAUAUCUGCGAUGUUCCUAGAGAGGCAAACACAAAAAAAGUGCAGCUGGCUAUGCAUAGAAAUCAACUAGCAGAGAGCCAGAAACAAGCUUGAUACAAAUACUAGAUGUUGAGCACGAUGAAUACCAUUCACAGUAAAGAAAUCUUCUUCUGGUAAUCAAAUCGAUAAAGACACAUUUACAUCAGGCUUGUAGUGGGAGUAUUUUUUUUUGACAAUCCUAGGGCUUUUAUUAUUGAUUAGGGUCAUUGCCAGUGAGAUAUUUUCACAUCUUUAUGUCCAACAAAAUUUCUUAGAAGUUGUGCUUUCUGCUAGAAAUGAUCAAAGAUCUACCUAGAGGGUGGGGGGUGGGGUGGGGUGGGGGGUGAAUAGGUAUAAUUACAAUUUUUAAUUAUUACUUGGGAAUUUUAGGCAAUUAUGAGGAAUAUGAAAGUGAGCCUAAGAAUUGCAAAAGUGAUACUAGUGCUAGCAAUAUACUCAACAAGUAGAAAGGCAAGCAACCACAAUAAGAUAUAGCAAGUAAAACAAAGCACAAGUAACCAUAAGUAAGGAGUUAGGGUUAGGGUUAACCGAAAGCAUGUAUCCCGAUGUUCACUUCCUUGGAGGGAAGAUAGUCACCGUUGAAGGGGCGGGUGUUACCAUGAAGGCACAAUACAUCUCGACGGAUCACCCUAUUCUCCUUGAGAUAUCACCACGAAGGCGAUUCUCAACCACUAGUGGUAGACCUUGAGGCGGCCUCCAAACCUUCAUAAGCUUUUCGGGGGUAAUCACAACAACUGAUUCCUUUCCGAAGAACUCCUACCGCCUAAGAGUCUCCAACCUCAAACAAUAACAAGAACAAUGGGAAAAAGCUAAGACUUGCUCAAAUCAAGAUUUCCUUUGGUCAAGAGAGGGGGAGGAAUGUAUCUAUCACUUGGUGGAAAAUCUCUCAAGAACUCUCAGAAAUCUCUCCGGGAUCUAAGAUUUGGUGAAGGAGGGAGUGAGAGGGAGCACUUGGGUGUUUUAGGGUUGCUUUGAAUGAAGUGGUCAACCAACUCCCGGAAUGGGAGAGGGGUAUAUAUAGUGUAGCUCCGAAUAGAGCCGUUUGAGUGUAAAGUGGUUGUUAAGUACCGAACAUCCGUUGUAUCACUGGACACCUGGUGGCUGGAAGACAUGCACAGCGAUAUGAACAUCGUAGGCAAAGAACAUAGUGGGGGACCGGACAUCCGGUAAAGUACUGGACAUCCAGUGGUGCAUUCAGCUACCGAACAUCUGGUGCAUACUGGACAUCCUGCUCGGAUAACAUAGCUUCUGUUGGGUUCUGGCCGGAUUUCUUGUAUGCUCAUCCAGAGCCAGGGUGAUGGACCAGACAUCCGGUGUGUACCAAACAUCCAGUGUUUGAAAGUCAUGUACAUGAAGAUGCAGGAGGGACCGAACAUCCCGUGGAGUACCGGACAUCUGGUGGAACAUUGAGCCACGGGACAACCGGUGCCAACCAUAAGUCCAGCCCAAAUCACAUAGCCACUGGUGCCCGGGGACCGGAUUUUCGGUGUGUACCGGACAUCCAGUGCUAGGACAAUAGACCUGACAUCCAUUACGACAGUGAUGGCAGUGGAGCACAGGUGGUGCACUAUAGAUUAGGAAGUCCUAUACAUUUUUUCCGUGAAGUAUAGAAGCAGAGUUUCUUGGCUGGAGUAUGGGUGUAGCAUUUGCACUGGAUAUGAGUGGAAUAUUGGGUAAGGAGUGAACGUGAAAUAUGUUAGAAAGUGUGAGCUUGGGCUUAUCUCUUUAAACCCCAUCGAUCCCCUCUUAAUAAUGUGGGAUCCCUAUACUCAAGAACAAACCCAAAAGGCUACGCAUAUAUAUUAGAAAUAAACCCAAGAAUUACAUGUCAUUUUUGGAAAAAACGAGCUGAAAACAAAGAUUUGAUAAUGGUUCAAGGACUGCAAGAAUCUUUGGAAAAAACGAGCUCCCUCCCUCCCUCGUCCGCCGCCGCUCCCUCCCACCACCUCCUCCUCCUUCUUCUGCGCCCUAGGAGCCCCGCCGCCGCCUGCUACUCCUUCACCGCCUCGCCUCUUCCUCCUCCCCGCCUUCCCAUCGCUUAGGUUGGCGGUUAGCGGCGGCUCGAUCCACUCCGUGGUUUCAGAUGGGCCGCCUUCCCCAUCUCUUGUCCGUGUCCGGUGCCGUCACUCGAUCUUGAUCUUGGGAGCAUGCGGGAGAGAGGCGUCGUGUCUAUUGCCAGGACGGGACAUGGGGGUGGAGGCGAGCGAGAGAGCGGAUGUUGCUGAAGAAGCUGGGGAGGCAAGACGAGGGCGGCGUGGCGUUCCGUGGCCGCGGUGGCCAGAGGGGCGGCUCCAUGUCGCGGUGUAUGAGGUGCCUAGAGGAGGAUGCUGCGGCAGGUUAAACUCCUCUCCCGUUGUAGAGCAGUCCGCAGUGCCAUCACCGUCGUCCUUGCCUUCGAGCCAUCCGUGCCGCCGUCGCCGUCGCCUAGAGGACGCCGGUAGGAAGCAGCAGCUCACCGUUUCCUUGGUCCCCGCCGACGCCAAGCGAGAAGAGAAGGUGAGAUCGAAUUUGUCUGAUCUUUCUUUUUCCCUGUCCCUCCCAUGGAUUUUCCCGGAUCUUGGUGAGCUCCUCAACCACCAGAUUUUGCGUGUUCUGUGAAUCCAAUCCUUCCGCCUGCAGGGGGUGCUUUGGGGUUUCUGUAGGGACGAGGAGAGGAUUUGUGAUGCGCAUCGCCGCCCCUCUCUCUUUCUCUCGACUCAAUCUCAUUUUUUCCUUCUAAACAGUCAAAUUGCCAGUCAGUUUAGCUGUACUGAGCGACAAAGAAAAAUGUGCAGGCUUCUCUUUGUAUCCCAUGCACGUGUGCUGUAGUUGUAGCAAGAAAAUUCUUCGGAUUUCCCUGGCAAUCUGUCAGUUUAGCUUCAGGCAUUCCUUUGUAUCAUUCAGACUUAUAGUUAUUUUCUUACUUUCUGUAGGCACGUGUGCUGUAGGUGUAGCAAAUUGGACAAGCUACAUCGCUAAUGCCGGGUGUAUGGAGCUCAGGAAGGCUAUCUGCAACAAGCUUCAGGGUACGUGCACACGGAUGCAUUUCUUAUUUUCAGAAUAUCCAUAUUGCAUAAGUAGUCUAAUUGACUUCCUUGUCGCUCGGUUAUCGAUAUGCAGAGGAUAAUGGUCUAACCUAUAGCCCAGAUCAUGUGCUAGCAACCAAUGGGGCUAAGCAAUGCACUACACACGCUGUUCUUGAUGUUCUCUCAUGUGGUGAUGAGGUAAAGUUAUCAUCUUUGUAUAUCACAAUUUUCUAGGAUAAACACUUUUCAUUCUAGAUUAGAUAAUACCAUGAAAAUAUCAGCACCAAGUGUUUAUCCUGUAGUCCUUUUUGUUGUUCCAUGUUCCUAAAAUUUAGCAAACUGCUUCAUUUUCUUUUAAACUGCAAUUUUUGUUUGGGUCUUCCAUGCUUUGUCAUUAACUCAUGAUGUGGAUGAUGCAGCGCCAUGGAUCAGUCCCUGCUAUAGGAGAGAGAGAAGAUGAGAGGAUGAGAGAGAAGGAAGGAGAGGAGGGAGAAAGAGAGAGGAAAGAGUACCUGGAGGUGCGUCGACCGGCGUCGGCAUGUGCUGGCAAGGUUGGGCGGGACCGGGUGGUUGGCUGCGGCUCCGUGGUUUCAGAUGGGGCACCGUGGGGAGCCAGGGAGGCAGCUUGGCCCAGCCAUGGCGUUGGUGCUGCGGAGAGCCGCCUCGCGCUACUUCAUCGUCGACACUACAGGCUUCGCCGCCGCCUACGCGAUGCCGCCCCAGGGGGAUCAGCAGCAGCCCCCCUCGCUGCAGGGGCCCAGCCAGCAGGUCGGGGCCAAGCUGGGGCCCUGCAUCGAGUGCAGCGCCACCGGCACAAGAAGUGCUCUGGGUGCAAGUGCAUGCAUAUUGGUGCGCCCCCACCCCCCGCCCUCGUCCCCCUCCCUAUUUCUUGGUAUGACAUGGUUGUGGGCGUCCUGAUCUUGCAUUGCCGCUGAGUCCCUGCGGAAUCGUGGCGCCCCCUUUCUGUAAUUCGUUGCUUGAUGCGUGCUAUUGUGCCGGGAUCCUCCACCGUUCUUGGCCCUACCCCCGGUGUCCAUGAAUGUAGAUUGUGAUUUCUGUCGUUUCUUGGAUGCUUUGGGAAAUUGGGUCUUACCUUACCCCUGUUGUCCAUUAUUGCGAAAUUGUGAUUUUGCUCUUGCUUCUUGGAUGCUUGUGUAAUUCGGUGUUUAGGUUCAGUGAUUUUAGUGGUUCUUGAGGAUCCAAGACAUACAUAGUAGAUGGGAACCUCUGUUCUUGUGAGGUUAUUGAGUGGUGAUCAUGCGGUUUGGUGUUCUCAUGAGAUAAGUGCCUUCUUGCGGGCCCCUUGCGUCUUAUUUGUGCGAUUUGGCUGUGUAUGUCUAUAAUAGGUACUUUGCUUUUUAGGAUUAAUGAUUAAGCGGUUCAUGGUGUUGAGCAUAAGGUAGUUGAUGAGCCAGGGAGGCGGCUUGGCCCAGCCAUGGCGCUGGUGCUGCGGACUCCCCGCCGCGUGGCGUCUCACUGCUCGUCCCUUCUGGUCACACCUCCCCAUGUGAGUUCCUCCACCCUAAUUCAGCUCCCCUUGCUAUCUAAUUUCAAUUUUGUUUCGCAUGUGGGUUUGGGUGGCCAGGAGAUUUUGCACCACCAACUAUAGCAACACCUUUUUUUUGCCAGUUAGUGUUACGGUUCCUGCUGACGGUGUAUAUCCCUUGAACAACAAUCUUCCAUCUUCAGCUGCUACACAUCCAACUGCAGUAGCAAAUACCUCCAUCCCCGAUACACUGCGGAUGGUAGCUCUGAAACUAUUGGUUGCUUAAGUAGUUUCUGUCAAGUUGUAUAUUUAGCUGUUGGCUGCCAUUUGUAGUUGCAGUUAGUAUCUUCUUUAUUUCACACCAUGUUUUCUUAUGUCUUGCUUCUAUCUUGCUGGACUUGUGGGAUCUAAGUGAUCUAUAAUUGUGUUUUCUGGUCAUUACAUCAAAAAAUGUAUCCCCACUUUCAAAGAUGAUCCUUGUUUGUUGCAAGGGAAAGAUCUAUUCUUGCACUGCGCUAAGCACAUCACAAGUAGGUAGGUUAGGUUAUUUAUGUGAAGUUUUCUUGCUAUAUAUGUUGUGGAAUCAAGGUGUCUAUUGACCAAAUGAAGAAUGAUAUAUCUAUCUGCAUAUUUUUCUUUUUAGAUGAAUUUGACUAACUAUGCCUACUCUUUCAGCUUAAAGUGUAUUUGAGAACCCAUGCACUUGACCAAAUGGUUCACGCAGUAGCUGCUUCAUUUGGCAUUAGAAUGAUUACCAAAUUUUGCUACGAACUUAUGCUGCUACUAUAACCUUUUUGUAGGUAAAUUUGAAGCCUAAGGUGCCAACAAAGGUAGUUUGUGCUGAACAUCUUGAGUUACAGAACGAGAUACUCACACUGCUUAACAUACAGAGGCAAGUACUUUCCUAAAGGAGCUCCUGAAUGCUUUAGGCUUUGAUGUCUGCUUUAGUCUGAUAUUUCCAUUUGAUCUUCCAAAAGGAGCAACCAUCACAGUGCUGAAAUUAUGUUCCACUUGAUGGUUCUUAAUUGUAUUUCUCAGUUUAGGUUUGGACUUGCACUAUAGGUGGUUGCGAAUCUCAGUCUUUGCGUGUCUGUCUAUGACAUCCUUGCCGUCGAAGGCGGAUUCACCUUUCCAUGAUAGGGCUGCUCGACGUAUAAAGUAAUUAGUGCCAUCAUCUUUGCCAUCCAUUUAUCUUUAUUAAGGAAUGUGAUGUUACUACUUACUAAUUAUGUAUGUUGUUUAGUAUUUGCAGAAGCAUUCUCAACUUUCCUCUGUACUUUCUCUUUUCUCUAUACUUUGUUUGGGUAGUAUUUACCCUGUCCCGAGAAUAGCAGAGAUAGACAUGCCUAUGUGUACAGCUAAGUAAUCAAAAUAGUUGAGAUAGACAUGCCUAUGUCUACAGGAAAACCAGCUUAACAUUCAUAUCUCAACUCCCUAUCCACUCUGACCAGACAUAAAAUUAAGCUUAGGUCAGCAAACUGGAAAAAGGGCAUAUAUGGUUACCGUGUAGAGUAUGUGAGUAAAUACACAUGUUGCAUGGUGCAUGUUUUUUGCUGUGAGUUUCUUUGUAUGCUAGCGGAGCUCGAGUUCAAUAGUUCUUCACAUUACAUAUUUGUUAUUCACCCCCGUACUGCAUUUCUGUAAAAUACAUUGGUUCCAGUCUUGACUAUGGGCUGUUUUGCCAUGCUUACAUCAGAGCUCAAAAGUAGAUGUCAUCAGCAAGUAGGUGAUACAUGUCUAUCUGAUUUAGCAUUUUGGAAUUGCUCACAACAUUUCUUUCGGCAUGUCAAUGAAAAUGGCACCUUCCCAUUCUGAUGUUCAUUAUGUUUCUUGAAGCCCUCACCAUCUUUAUAUUCAUUACAUAUUCUCAAAAGCUUAUUUCUUAAUAAUACCUAAAGUGAAUACCAUGAGCUACCUCUCCAGUUUAUUCUUAUUUGAGUAUUAAGAGCACCUACAUUGCUUUGGUUCUGUAUGACUGAUCAAAUUUACACACACCUCAACCAUAGUAAAAUCUGGAAGACGACGUAAAAGAAUCAAAGAAAAGUAGAGAUGCACAAUAGUUUUUGCUUUUCAGGGAUUGUUCUUGGGUUCAGCUUUCGCCGGCAUGUUGUUAUUAUAGAGUUACCGUAUCUCUUUGAAUCGUCAUAUGUACUCCAAACUCUUAUAGAUUAUGCAACUAGCUAAUGGUUGGAACUUUUACUCAACUUUAUUAUAGGUGGCACAAAGUCAUGUUAGUUGCCAUUUUAUUGCUACAGAUAUGUUCUUGUUCUGAUUGUUUAUGUGAUGAUUAUAUUCAUGUGUAUGUAGCACAACCUCAUGUUUACAUUUGGCUUGAAGUCGGCUGUACUUUUUUUUGCUUUUGUUACAAGAUAUAUCAUCAAUUUCUUGUCUGGACGUACUUUUAUUAGUUUGCUUCUAACUGCAUCUUAAUAUGUACUCAGUAGGCUCUACAGGAUUCGAUGAUGGAUGUGUGAAUGUGAGCAAUCAGGAUAUAAAUUUCUUCCAACAGCAAGACAUGCUGAUUAGAUUCAGGAAUAUGUUCUUGCGUCCCAGCUUUGCAGCUUCACGUUGUAGGACUAAUAUUUGGUACCUGACAUGAGAUUGAGAAAUACCAUGCUUUAAUUAAUUAGUACAUACCUUGUGCAGGGCACAUAAAAUAUAUCUGAUAUCGGUUUUUUGUUAUUUAUAUUUUUAUCUUUUCUACCCUAAUUCAGUAGCACCAUUUCUUGAUGUUAUUUCUCUAUAGGAUUGUUGCUUCCACUAUAGCUUUUCCCCUCUGAAAUGAAUUUGAAUUAGGUCACUUUAGUGUCAAGGUAAAAAUUUCUUUGUUCUCGGGAAGAGCCAAUAUCCUAGGUGAUCGUUAAAUAUUAUUAAUAAUUACCAAUUAAUAAUUAUGUGCUUGACUGUUUGUUGAUGACCAAUAAUUAUGUAUUUCACUUAUAAGUAACUAUCUAAUUUGCAUGUUCCAUUUUAUUUCAGAUGUAACACAUUCUUUGUAUGUAUUCUGAUGGAUUUUAGAUAUGCUCACUUGAUAUCAUUUUUUUCUCUUGACUCUAAAACAUGUAUGUACAAGCUAUUUAAGAGGGACAAGAAGGCGGAAUAGCCUCGCUUAUAUAGUUUCUGACUGCUAACAGUGCCAUCAUCAAUGAGCUUCACUCUAAAGUCUGUUCAUGGGAGGGUUGGGCUUCCUUCUAUGCUAGGGCUGAAAUUGGAGAAUAAACAAGGGGUUGACAUGCUUGUGAAGUUCUAUUAGGUAUGCUUCUCUCUCUCCCCAAAUCUUUCGGUUCCUGAAGCACAAACCCUGUCAGUUUGUCCAUAUGUAGAUUUUUUCCCUUCUUGUUGGUGCACUAUUCUCGGGUUUUUGUGUGUUUCUUUCUUGCGGCCAGCUUGACCAUUUACUCUGGAAGGAGUUAUUCAACUAAAAAAGAGCGAACAAGUUGAGAUUCUUUUGUCUUGUCCAUAUCGUUCCUACAAUGUUGUUUGGGUUGAUUUUCUUGCUUUUUUGUAGUUUGUGGAGAGAGUUAAGUAGUAGGGUAGCCUUUCUAUGGUGGCGAUCGCAUGCUGUGCAGCCGAGUGUAGUUAAUUUGGUGGUUCAUGUUACAAGAAAAAUCAUUCCUCUGUAGGUUUCAGGUUCCUAUUGUUGUGAGGUGCUCCAUGGCCCUUUGCUUGGUUGCUCUGUGGUGAGGCAAUAGAGAUAAUUAGCAGUCUUGUAUACUAACCAAGAGAACAUCCAUUUCAUGAUUUUGGGUAUUGGGUUCUCUUUGCUAAACUAGCUGCAGCUAGAUGAGAGAAGUAGUAAGUAAUAUCAGGUGCAUAAUUUCUAUCAGUCUGUGUAUUCUAAUGACUACCGAUAUCCCCUUGCCUGUAGUGUGGCACUGAAUCAAUAGUCAUUUUUGCACAAUCAUGUGUCAUGUUCCUUUAUGAAUCAUAUAAUAUCAAGAGACAACUUAUGGAACUGUUCAGAUUUUUAUGGCAACCCUAACUUCGCUAGGUAAUAACUUUUUUUGGUCUUUAUCCAACUGGUUUUUAUCAUAUCAAAUUACUGCAGAGCGUACUGAUUUUUUGUCACCUAGCAACGGUGCCUUUCAGUUCAACUAGCAGUUUAAACCUCCGAAGGUUUAAGGUGAACAAUGAGAUAUUUUUGGGUUUGUUUGAACUGUUGUGUCUGUCCACUUGAGUGCCUCCAUAUGUGGUUCUCCUGUUGCAUUAGUUAUAUUAUUAUUUUUGAUCAUCUUGCCCAAAACUAAAGUUUCACUACAUGAAAAAUGACUACUUUAUUUUAUACCAUGUUAUCCUCUUUCUCUUCCCCACAGGACAGCGUCUCCCCGCGUUCUCGAUCUGGCGCCGCCACAUAUCAUGAUUCUGGAUCGGGCGCAGGUCAUCGCCAUAAGAGAGCCUGGCUGGUGUGGUCUUCAUGCUUGGUGUGUAGAAGCACGGGGGAUGAGUAGGACGGGCAUGGUGAAGGAGCAGCUAGGCUGGAGCUCCGGCGUUGCUCGUGUCAUGGUCGAAUGGAGCCGGCCAUCACUAUGGGCUGCUGCUCACCGGUCGUCAUUCCCCAAUCUCAGUUGCUCAUCUUUGGCUUCACCAUCUUCCUCCCCUGAUCAUGCAUCUAUUUUAGAUCAUAUAAUUAUGCUAUAUCAUAUAUGUUGUUUAGUUCAGACUUGUGCAUGUGCAUGCAUUGGCAUUGAUUUAGACAAAGAUAUUGCAUGAUUUGUACAUAGAAGGAGUACGGAUGAUCUAGGAAUAAAUGUUUGAAUAAAGUUAGUAGUGAGAUUUAGAUAGAGGUUACCUGCACUGUUCUGUUUUAUGUAGAUUCUAAGCUGCAAAAUCAUACAUGGUCCUGUUAGUAAUUUGUUUGAGUUCUGAGUUUACGCAUUUUCCCUUCGAAUGUUUGUAUGUGUGAUCACUUGCUUUUAGGUUCCCAGUGGUAUAUCAUGAGAAGUUUUUUACUCUGCACCGGGUGAUCAACUACAUAUUUAGACGAAUACACUAUUCAGGACGAGGAACAUUAAGAUUUCUAAUGUUGUUUUCCUCUUUCAAGAUUGCAGUUUUCAUAAGCCUUAGAUAGCUAAGGUACACAUAGUUUUUAUUUAACAUUUUUUACUGUUCUCUCAUCUCCUAUAUGGUGUCUAAGAAAUACUAAUGUAGACAAUUCAAAUUUUUUAAAUACCUUCCGGCCAAUUAUGUGGGGAAGGUGCAGCAAGCCGACCCCCGCGUUGUAGUAGAGUGGAGCUGGCAAUUUUAUGAUCGGUCUCUAAAUAUUUAUACUUGCACAAUUUGAAUUAGCUUCACAUGGUAUAUAGUUUGAACAUAGGUAUUCCUUAAUUUUUCAUAUAAAAGGUUUAGAAUUAUUACCCUCAGUGCUAAAACUCGAAGUUACUAACAAAUGCAAACGUUUCUGUUACAAAACGUUUAGAAUCAUUACCCUUGAUGCUUGAAUUUGGACCUUGCACCUUACUUGGGUAACAUAGAGCCAAAUGGCACAUUGUUCAAAUACACGUUCAAAACACUUUGAGUUUGACAUGUUCUCUAUCCUUGAUCAAACAUAAAAUUACUAAAAAAGGCAAAUAUUUCUCAACACGAACAUGGUUUCAAAUGGGUCUCUGCGCCAUUUGGCGCACCGGGUCAUCUAGUGUAUAUUAACAAUAGAUAGUAGGUUAGUUACAAAGGCAAAGAAUGACGGUGCCGGUAGAAACAUAAAACCUCUCAAAGUAAUAAUAAUACAGAAAAAGCAACAAGGACGUUUCAUCACUCCUUCAAUAAAAGGGUCAUUGCUAACAAUAACAGCUUGUGUAGAACUCUAGCCGUGUUUGGCCCGUGAGAUGAUUUUGAGAUGGAAAUAAAUCAAAAGAAGGUUAGUAUUGAGCACAAAUACUUGAAAGGAAAAUAACAUGUAGCACAUCAUCGACUUCAAGGUAAAAUUGAAUACAGUGUUACUUUCAAUAGAUACCAAAAUAUCACUUAUCAAUGCUAAAAUUUGAUUAUAAAAUAAGUAACGCUAAUAUAAAAAACAUGUGUCUUAGGAGAACCCAAGAAGGAAGUCUCAACAUAUCAACUCCUAGAACAAGCUAACACAUGCCAUUUUUGUCACUUAGAAAGAUUUGAUAGGGUACAGGGACUACAAGAAUUACAUUCUAUCAACAAAGUAGAUACCCAUUUUUCGGUGAUCUAACCUUGACUAUAUUGUACGAAUACUUUAGCAGUUAUGUGCCUUUGGCAAACAAAAUAUAACUCCAAAUGACAGCAAAAAAUAUAGUCAAAUGUAAGAAACCACUUGAAAUUCAGAAACAAACACGAUUACUAAAGCCAAGUUUUAAAACACCACAAAGGAAACAUUUCUUUGUCGACUAUUGUUAACAACAUGUGGCAGGACUAGGUAUCAAAUAGGAAAUCCAUCUUCAACAUAAAUAGAACGGUAGUAAUCCAUGAUGAAGAACAAACGAUGCUGAAGGUUAACCAAUUAAUAAACCCCUUCAAUAACUGAAAAAGGCAUGUUCCCUAAGACCAGACGGGGAAUAGGAAAUUUAUUCAACACCAAUUCCACACUAGGAAUUCGUGAUGGAGAAUAGUUGUUGUCAAUGUUCCAACUAUUAAAUCAAUUCACAUGUGCUGUCACCGAGAGAAUCGAAGACAGGAGCAACUAAUCAAGCAAGCAUGUACCAAGGGAGAGAAAAUAGUGGUUAGUUGUCCAGGACAGUUGCCCACAUGAAUUAUUCCGGAUAACAAGCAUUGCCAUUAGUCAAGGAUGUAAACUGAAUAUUCAGAGGGAAACUAAAGCUGGAUGUAUUGUAAUGUGCAGACAUCAUAGCUUUGGCUAGACUAGUGAGGUAAUAAGCAUUCUGAUGCAGAGCUAACCACAUUGGACAUCAUAAACUGUAGGUCACCCGAUCCACAAAUCAGUAGUUGUGCAGAGACAAAGAAACAAGAAGACUGCUAACAAUUAAUCGAGAAUGGCAUAUCUAUCAUUCUAUUGGUGUGCAUCAACUUGGAAUAUGAGGCAUGUCCUUUAAGAAAAUUGUUAAUUGUACAUCUGCACGUCAUAACUUUUUUCGAUAAAUGGCGCUUUUAUUAUCUCAAAAUAUAGCAUCAAGCUGAUACAAAGCAUUUGGAGUAUCACCCGGCCUCUGCAUAACUACGAUGCACACAGCCAAACACCAAAAAUCUGAUAAAAAGGAAAGAAAAAAACGACAAUUCGGCAACAGUAGAGUCCUAUAGACCGACACUAUGCCUAUGUCGAAACGGUUGGCAGACCGAUCCGGAGAUUAUGCUGCCAUCCAUGCUGGGUAAAAACCUCCGUAGCCACCUGCUCCAACCACGUACACACCGCUUUGAAUAGCGGUUGGUACUCCGCAUGUUGUAGCAUAGACCACAUAUGGAGCGAGUGGGUACAACGGAAGAUAACCAGCAGAGGAGAAGCAUUUUUGUCAUUAAAAACCAAAUCGUUUCUGCAUAGCCAAAGCGACCAUAGUAAGGCAUACGCUCCCACCUUAUUAGCGUUUUGAACCUAUUUGAAAUACCGUCCAACCAAUGACCAAAAAUAUUGGUAACACUUGUGGGCGGAUACAAAUUUGACGCUAUUUGGGUGACUGACCAUGUAGAACGCGCAAACUUGCAAGUAAAAAGAGGUGUUUGAUUGUUUCAUCAUGAGUACAAAAACAACACUUCUUACUUCCUGGCCAGUUGCGUCGUGCGAGGUUGUAUUUGGUUAGCACAAUACCUCUACGAAGAUAUCACAUGAAUAUUUUAACUUUUAGUGGAAUCUUUGCCUUCCAGAUUUUCUUGUUAUUGCUCACCUGUACCUCAGAAUGCAUGAGGGCACGAUACAUAGAGUCUACCGUGAAAGACCCCAAUGUAAUAAGGUUCCAGCGAAACACAUCACGCCCUUGCGUCAGGUUAAUCAGAUCCAGACGGGAUAAGCGAUUAUGCCAUGACAUAAGUCGGGCGCCAACCAAAUCCUGCCUGAACGAAAUAUUCGGCGGGGAUGAGCUAAGCACCUGCGCAAUAGUACUGUUCUUAUCACGAGCAAUGUUGUACAAAGCUGGAUAUUGUUCUCGGAGACUGGCAUUGCCUAGCCAGAUGUCUUCCUAGAAAUGAAUCUCCGACCCAUCCUUUAUCGUGAAAGACUCAAAGCGAAAGAGUUGUUUCUUUGCCGCCAUUAGGCCAACCCAAAAGUUUGAGUCGCCAGGUUUCCAAUAUGCCUGAGACACCGCCUUUUGGCCUAGAUACUUGUUGCGCAACAUGGUUUGCCAAACAUCAUCCUCAGUAAGAAGUUUGAACAACCAUUUACUUUGUAUGAAGUCCAUCAACCUGGGUGAUGCAAAGAUCUCCUUUGUAUGCAGUCUAGCAACCUGGGUGAUGCAGGCCCCGAGCCCGAGCAUGGUGUCAGUCUUCUUGUAGCCGAGGGGCUACAUGCCACGAUGGUGCGCCUGGCGCCUACACGCACGCGUUCAACGCUUGCGCAUGCCUCCAGAUCAUCAGUGGAGGAUACACCGUCGAGGAAGUGGUCCUAUGCGGUUCUGGAUCCGCACAACCGACGACCGGCAGAUGCUCUACCAAGUCAAGAUGAUUUGGCCUUGGUGGAACUUGUUGUAGGGAGGAAGGAAGAGGACACAAUAGGCGCAGCUCUAUUCGCAUCCUCGUCGUCAUCUCCGCGGGGAGGAAAUUGCACAAAACACCUACUUUUGGUGCUAGUUUUGCGCAGAACACAUACUUUACAAAUUUGUUGUACAAAACACCACAUUAUUAAGGUAAUUUGUUGCAGCUAGGUCUAAUCCACCAUUUGAAUGUGUUGACAUGAUUUCUGACAAGUGAGUCUAGUUUGGAAGUGCAUCGCGUCAAAAAAUAGUUGUCUCAUCAGCAGCCAACUAGAACUGUCAAUAUCUCACAAUUCUUUGUUUCAAUUGAGCUGAAUUUUUCCAAGAAUAUUAGUGAGUGCAUAUAUGAUUUAUUGUAUUUUAAUAUUUUUUGAAAAUGUAAAAUUUAAACAAAAAAUUGAACAAGUUAACUAACAUUGCAAAUAUCUCACAAACUGUUGGUCCAAAUAAGCUAUUUUUCCUAGAAUAUUAUAUUGGAUACAUGUGUGAUUUAUAGAAAUUGUUUUUUUUUGAAAAUUUUGAAUUUUGAGGAAAAAAAAUUGUCUGAGCCAAUGUAAAUUGCGAGUAUCUCAUUAUAAUGUGAUCCAAAUCAGGUAAAAGUUUUCGGAUUCAUUACUGGUUACAUCUAGCUAAUAGCACACCACAAACUUUCAUGUGAAAAACAUAAGAUUGCUAUACAAUUUUGAAAUUGAUUGAGGCGAAGGUGUCCCGUUUUUCGAUGACAUGGUGAUUAUCGUUUUUGGAGGAGUAGACUUUGACGAUCCGACUACGAGAGGUUAUUGAUGUCGCACCUUAGCAACCUGGAGCAUGAUGGAGCAUGGUCAACCUGACCACGAUGGUCUAUUUCCUGCAAGCAAACGAAGAACAAGCAAGAAACUAAGAUUGCAAUCCGGAUAUUGCGAAUAUAAGAUGAAAGCUUUAUUGAUCAAGGUGGGGUUCUGUGACGUCUUGGUCUGGUCGUUGAACACAAAUGAAGUACGCGAAGUUGCAGCUAUGAUGAAUUUUAAUCUAAAUAAAACCCAAAGUCUAAACGUCGCCCUAAGGGCUGUAUAUAUGGAGGAGUAGGGGGAUUUCGUGGCCCCUUGUAGGAGGGGCCCGAAACCAACCCUAACUUUGUUUCCCCAUACAUACAGACUCUAAAAACAACCUAGGAAGUUGUACUUCGGAAUUACAUGGGCCUGGCCCAAAAAUAAGGUGGCGCAGCACCUAGAAUAAGCUAUGGACAAAAUUUAUGAAGGGACAUCUUGUAUAUUUUGUCCAUGCCCUUGUAGGUCAUCACGGAGGCUUCAAAGUGCUCAAAUAAGCACUAAAAACGCCAUUUUGGAUCCUUUCGCACGCGCCUUCAUCUCCAUGCUUGAUCCUGCUCUAGUGUUUAUUCCUCAUGUCCAUGCUAGGACCUUCAUUAGUAAUCAACACAAAUGUAUUCAAUUUAGGCAACAUCAUAUUCUCAUGAACAAAAGAAUUGUCACUAAGAAACGGAAGUACCUAGUAAUUCAAUUCGCGUGCGCGAGCUCUAGUAAUUGGUCUAGUAUGUAUAGCAGCAGGGGUUGUGGGUGUAACAAUGGUAUUGAUGUCCUCAUCAUCCUUCCCUUUUUGAAAUGAAGUCAUCCUCGACGGAAGCUCAUCCUCCUCACCCAAAUAAGGCUUCAAAUCUGCAAUGUUAAAAGUGGGACUAACCCCAAAAUAUGUAGGCAACUCAAGUUUAUAUGCAUUAUCAUUUAUUUUCUCUAACACCUUAAAAGGACCAUCAACACGUGGCAUUAGCUAUGAUUUGUGCAAAUCAGGAAAUCUAUCCUUACGUAAAUGUAACCAAACAAGAUCCCCAGGUGCAAACACAACAUUUUUUCUACACUUAUCUCCAGCAAGUUUAUAUUUAGCAUUCAUACGCUCAAUGUUCUCUUUAGUUAACUCAUGCAUUUUUAAGAUCAAUUCAUCACGUUGUUUAGCAUCAAAAUUAACCUUCUCCAAAGAUGAAAGAGGCAAAUCAAUGGAUGCAUGAGGUAGGAAAUCAUACACAAUUUCAAAAGGGCACAUCUUAGUAGUAGAAUGCAGUGAACGAUUAUAAGCAAAUUCAAUAUGAGGCAAGCAUUCUUCCCACAUUUUCUUGUUAUUCUUCAAAAUAGACCUAAGCAUAGUAGAGAAUGUUCUAUUGACUAAUUCAGUUUGUCCAGUUUGGGGGUGACAUGUAGUACUAAAAAGCAGUUUAGUCCCCAACUUAGCCCAUAAACAUCUCCAAAAGUGGCUAGGAAAUUUAGUAUCACGAUAUGAAAAAAUUGUAUUUGGCACACCAUGCAAGUGAAUAAUUUCAUGAAAGAACAAAUCAGCAACAUUAGUAGCAUCAUCGCUUUUCUGACAUGGUAUAAAGUGUGCAUUUUCGAAAAUCUAUCCACGACAACAAAUAUGCGAAUCCUCCCCUUCUUUGUUCGAGGUAAUCCUAAAACAAAAUCCAUAGAUAUAUCCUCCCAUGGAACAUUAGGUACAAGUAAAGGCAUAUAUAAACCAUGAGGAUUGAGUCGUGACUUAGCUUUUUGACAUGUAGUGGAGCGAGCUACAAAACGCUCAACAUCUCAUCUCAUCUUUGGCCAAACGAAAUGUGUAGCAAAUACAUCCUCCAUCUUCUUCACGCCAAAGUAUCCCAUUAAUCCUCCUCCAUGCGCCUCUUGCAACAACAACAGACAAAAGGAGCUAGCUGGAAUGCAUAGCUUGUUAGCACAGAAUAGAAAUCCAUCAUUAACGACGAAGUUGUUCCAUGUUCUUCCUUCUUUACAAUUCUGCAUUACAUCUCUAAAAUCAGCAUCAUGCACAUAUUGAUCUUCGAUGGUCUCCAAACCAAAUAUUUUAAAGUCAAGUUGUGAAAGCAUAGUAUAGCGACGAGACAAUGCAUCAGCAAUAACAUUUUCUUUACCCUUAUUGUGUUUGACAUAAGGGAAAGUCCCAAUGAAUUCAACCCAUUUAGCAUGUCUAUGAUUUAGUUUAGCUUGACUCUUAAUAUGUUUCAAAGAUUCAUGAUCAGAAUGUAUAACAAAUUCUUUGGGCCAUAAAUAAUGUUGCCAUGUUUCUAAAGUCCGAACAAGAGCAUAUAAUUCUUUAUCAUAAGUAGAAUAAUUCAGACUAGGCCCACUCAAAUUUUCAGAAAAGUAUGCAACAGGUUUGCCAUCUUGUAAUAACACACCUUGAUACGUCCAUUUUGCAUCAUGUUUUCUUACUGUUAUUUAUAAUGUUUUUAUCCAUAAUAAUGAUUUUUGGAGUAAUUCUAAUGCCUUUUCUCUCAUAAUAUGCAAAGAAUACACAAAGAGGGAGAAUUCUGGCACCUGGAAAUCUAUACCUGGAAAAGAUACGUCAGGCUACCUAUUCUGUACAACUCCAAACAAGCUGAAACUUUACAGAGACUUUUUAUGGAAUAUUUGAGAAAUAUUGGAGCAAAUAACUACCAAAGGGGCCCCACCAGGUGGGCACAACCCACCUGGAUGCGCUAGGAAUCCCAGGCGCGCCCUGGUGGGUUGUGCUCACUCAGGCCCACCUCCAGUGCCCAUCUUCUGGUAUAUAGGUCAUUUUAACCUAGAAAAAACAAGGAGAGGACUUUCGGGACGGAGCGCCGCUGUCUUGAGGCGGAACUUGGGCAGGAGCACUUUUUCCUUCCGGCGGAGUGAUUCCUCCGGGGGAACUUCCCUCCCCGAAGGGGGAAAUCAUCUUCAUCAUCAUCACCAACAACUCUUCCAUCUUGGGGAGGAUAAUAUCCAUCAACAUCUUCAACAGCACCAUCUCAUCUCAAACCCUAGUUCAUCUCUUGUGUUCAAUCUUGUUACCGAAAGUAUAGAUUGGUGCUUGUGGGUGACUAGUAGUGUUGAUUACAUCUUGUAGUUGAUUACUAUAUGGUUUAUUUGGUGGAAUAUUAUAUGUUCAGAUCCAUUAUGCUAUUUAAUACCCCUCUGAUCAUGAGCAUGAUUAUCAUUUGUGAGUAGUUACUUUUGUUCUUGAGGUCACGGGAGAAAUCAUGUUGCAAGUAACCAUGUGAACUUGAUAUGUGUUCGAUAUUUUGAUAGUAUGUAUGUUGUGAUUCCCUUAGUGGUGUCAUAUGAACGUCGACACAUGCCACUUCACCAUAUUUGGGCCUAAGGGAAUGAAUUGUGGAGUAACAAUUACAUGAUGGGUUGCAAGAGUGACAGAGGCUUAAACCCUAGUUUAUGCGCUAUUCCGUAAGGGACCAAUUGGAUCCAAAAGUUUAAUGCUAUGGUUAGGAUUUAUUGUUAAUACUUUUCUCGUAGUUGCGGAUGCUUGCGGGAGGGUUAAUCAUAAGUAGGAGGUUUGUUUAAGUAAGAACAUCACCUAAGCACCGGUCCACCCACAUAUCAAAUUAUCAAAGUAGCGAACACAAAUCGAACCAACAUGAUGAAAGUGACUAGAUGAAAUUCCCGUGUACCCUCAAGAACGCUUUGCUUAUCAUAAGAGGCCGUUUUGGCAUGUCCUUUGCCUCAAAAGUAUUGGGUUACCUUGCUGCACUUCUGUUACUACUAUCGUUACUUGCUCGUUACAAAUUACCUUGCUAUCAAACUACUCCGCUACUUACAAUUUCAGCACUUGCAGACAUUACCUUACUGAAAACUACUUGUCAUUUUCUUCUGCUCCUCGUUGGGUUUGACACUCUUACUUAUCGAAAAGAGCUACAAUUGAUCCCCUAUACUUGCGGGUCAUCACACCUCCUAAUCCAAUUCCACUAGCAUCACAUCCAAGCUCGAAAGUCAAGUCUUAUUAAAAUCAGGAAGUUGGAGUAAAGGAGCAUGUGUCAACUAAUCUUUCAAUAUCGUGAAGGCUUCUUCCUAUGCGGUACCCCAAACAGAAGGCACAUCCUUCUUUGUAAGAUCAUUGAGAGGUCUAACAAUGAUGCUGAAAUCUGUCACAAAACGCCUAUAGAAAUCAGCGAGGCCAAGGAAACUCCUCACUUGUGUGGCAGUUUUGGGCUGCGGCCAACUCUCAAUAGCUUCAGUCUUGGCUUUAUCAACUUCAAUUCCCUGUGGAGUAACAACAUAGCCAAGAAAAGACACCCGGUCGGUGCAAAAAGUGCACUUCCCAAGGUUACCAAAAAAAAA
rnacentral:lncRNA from 1 species